GAGCAGCCUGAGGCAGAAGCCUCCAGCUCGCAUGAUAUUCCAGGUUGUUUGCAGGAGUCACAAAAUGGGAGGUGUUGAAAGAAGGUCUAAUGCUUCCAAUCUCAUUUCACAAGAUGAUACUUGAAGCCCAUGAAGUUAUAACCUACUUAAUGAGCGCAAGCGACACAUUUGUUUUCUCUACAUGAAUUAGUUCUUAAAUCAUUCUCUCUGGCUAGGAAAAGGAGAAGUUGCAUGUUUAGAAAGAGUUGGCUAUGUAACCCCAAGGGGAAGAUACAGAUAGUCUGGAAGCUGUUUUUUGUACUUUACUCCAAUUUUUGCUUGUUAAUGUCUAUAAAACUUUCAUGAAUUGUU